rnacentral:tRNA from 1 species
GGCAUUGUAGCUCAGUGGUAGAGCACUUGCCCUGCAUCAACAAGGAUCUGGGUUUGAUUCCCAGCACCA